rnacentral:rRNA from 1 species
GACAGAGGGUGCAAACGUUACUCGGAAUUACUGGGCGUAAAGCGCGUGUAGGCGGGCCGAUAAGUCAGAUGUGAAAUCCCUGAGCUCAACUCAGGAACUGCAUUUGAAACUGCCGGUCUAGAGUGGUGGAGAGGGAAGCGGAAUUCCUGGUGUAGAGGUGAAAUUCGUAGAUAUCAGGAGGAACACCGGUGGCGAAGGCGACUUCCUGGACACCAACUGACGCUGAGACGCGAAAGCGUGGGGAGCAAACAGG